CCUGUCUGCCAGCAGGGAGCCCAGUGAGUCACUUCCAUUGUAUGCUGAAUGUCAGUCAUCUACUGAGUCUUAUCCAAAGUUCCUGAGCCCAGAGGCAAAGAAUAACAUCAGAAUGCUGGGUCUGAAAGUUUAUUCUCUCUUCAUGGCCAAAGCUCAAAAGAGGAUAAGCAAGGUGCUGAAUCGUAACCUGACUGAGGGAUGGACAACACAGCUUCUCUUUUUGCGACCUUCUAAAUCUCCUGUGGUCAUGACUAUUGAACGUUUCCUAUCUUUUGAGGCUGGAUAUUGAUGAAAACCAAAAUGCCUCAAAAUAGGCAUGCCAUAGUUAAAAAAAAGAUGACAAAAUUGACCUUGCCAAAUUACGUGCAGAUUUCACCUCUCCUACGUGUUUGAUAUGACCCCGUCCACUCUGAGGUCCUUAGCCCACUCAGAAGUAUUAAGUGUGACUGAAAAUCUUUGGCAACACUGUGGCCUCUGAAUAUCUUUGCAGCUAUAAGGGCUAGAAUUUUCUCAGUUAAAAAGGAAGCUCGAGAUUCUCGGCUACAUUUUGUUGCUUUACUAUUCUAUUCUUUUAACUUUAAGCAAAAGAUACUGGAAGCAGCUGCAAAUCCUGCCUAUUAGAAAGAAAGCUAAACCAGACCCUCAGUAGAAAAGCUUCUGUAAUAUGGAUAAAGUUAAAAAAUAAACAAACUGCAGUAUAUAUACGCAUUCCAGUCUCUGUCCAAACCCUUGCCACAUAGUUGAUGUAAUAUGUAGUAAUGUUCAGGAGAUAGAUGGGUUUUAAUAUAGAUUUUCACAUACCUUCUUUAAAUGCUUGGCAGACUUUCUCAUAUAUGUAUGUUAUUCCAGACCUCGGUGAUCCCACAACAUUGACUAUGUAUUUGAGAGCUAGACUGAUUUAUUUCUGGCUCAGUUGCAUUAUAUUUGAAACUAGAAUAAAGCUAGUGUUAGCUUUCUUAAGGCUGAGGUAGGUCUGUUUCUCCAUUUGCUGCAAUUUCUAAUUCAACAUGUCCUGUGGGUCUUGGACUUCAGGUCUUUCAAGUGGAAAGGUGGCCUGAGGUCUUUUCAGCUCUCCCUCACGGGAACCACUAGGAUUUUAUUUUAUGGCAUAACAAGAGAAAUGAACACAAUAUGAACUAAAUGUGUGGAUAGGCUGGGAAGCUACAAGUAAUUUAUUUUAGUUCUCUUUUGUGUGGGGUUCAGGGUAAGGAAUAUUUGUUCUUUUAACAUGUGUCAAUUUGGGUGGGGUGGUGCUUCUUCCAUGAUCACAGUACACGCCAACUAAGACAAGAUAACAGCAGAUAGUCUUCAAACUGCUUUUGAGGAAUUGGGAGUAGAAACAGUGAAUUUUUUUAGAAGCAAAAGUAUUUUAGUAUUCAUAUACACUUAUUAAAGAAAAUGAGUCUGUAUGAAUUUACAACUAUGUACAUACACGUUGCCAUUAGAUGAAGGAUAAAUGUUCCCUAUGACUUCAGUUUAUUUUCCCCCUUGAUACUUACUGAGCAACAUGUUUCAAUUUGCCUCUGGGUUUGUAUAAUUCUGCCCUGGAUUCUGGGACUGUUAUGUAAAUAUCCAAUAUUCUGAUGGGAUUUGAUGUUCAGAGGUAGUAA